rnacentral:rRNA from 1 species
GGUGACUCAUAGUACUUAAUCGGAUCGCAUGGGCUUGUCCCGCGACAAACCAUUCAAGUUUCUGCCCCAUCAUGCUUUCGAUGGUAGUGUAUUGGACUACCAUGGCUUUCACGGGUAACGGAGGAUUAGGGUUCGAUUCCGGAGAGGGAGCCUGAGAAACGGCUACCACUUCCACGGAAGGCAGCAGGCGCGUAAAUUACCCAAUCCUGACUCAGGGAGGUAGUGACAAGAAAUAAUGGGUCGGGGUUCUGCCCCGGGACCGCAAUGAGACGAAUUUAGACCCCUUAUCGAGGACCAAUUGGAGGGCAAGUCUGGUGCCAGCAGCCGCGGUAAUUCCAGCUCCAAUAGCGUAUAUUAAAGUUGUUGCAGUUAAAAAGCUCGUAGUUGGAUUUCUGGUAGUGGGCAAGAGCUCGUUGCACGUUGCUCGCGUUCAUUGCCAUCCUUCUGUUAACCUAUCAGGGCAUUCUAUUGUCAGUUAGGGGCUCAGAUAUUUUACCUUGAGAAAAUUAGAGUGUUUCAGGCAGGCUUGUGCCCGGAUACAUUAGCAUGGAAUAAUGGAAUAGGACUUUAGCCUCUUCUGUUGGUCUGAGGGGUUGAAGUAAUGAUUAAUAGGGAUAGUUGGGGGCAUUAGUACUUAACUGUCAGAGGUGAAAUUCUCGGAUUUGUUAAAGACUAACUUAUGCGAAAGCAUUUGCCAAGGAUGUUUUCAUUAAUCAAGAACGAAAGUUAGGGGAUCAAAGACGAUCAGAUACCGUCCUAGUCUUAACCAUAAACUAUGCCGACUCGGGAUCGGGGGCCAGAGUUAACUGCCUUCGGCACCGUAUGAGAAAUCAAAGUCUUUGGGUUCUGGGGGGAGUAUGGUCGCAAGGCUGAAACUUAAAGGAAUUGACGGAAGGGCACCACCAGGCGUGGAGCUUGCGGCUCAAUUUGACUCAACACGGGGAAACUUACCAGGUCCAGACAUAGUGAGGAUUGACAGAUUGAUAGCUCUUUCUUGAUUCUGUGGGUGGUGGUGCAUGGCCGUUCUUAGUUGGUGGAGUGAUUUGUCUGGUUAAUUCCGUUAACGAACGAGACCUUAGCCUACUAAAUAGUCGCAACAAUUACGAUUGGCUGCGUCUUCUUAGAGGGACUUUGCAAGCAACUGCAAGGAAGUUUGAGGCAAUAACAGGUCUGUGAUGCCCUUAGAUGUCCUGGGCCGCACGCGUGCUACACUGACGCAUACAGCGAGUAUCACCAGCUCCGUGAGGCUGCUGGUAAUCAGCAAUAUGCGUCGUGCUGGGGAUAGAUCUUUGGAAUUUUUGAUCUUGAACGAGGAAUGCCUAGUAAGCGCAGGUCAUCAGCCUGCGUUGAUUAAGUCCCUGCCCUUUGUACACACCGCCCGUCGCUCCUACCGAUUUCGAGUGGUCCGGUGAACCCUUUGGACCGAGAGCGCCUCGUGAGCUUUGGAAAGUCGAGUAAACCACAUCACUUAGAGGAAGGACAAGUCGUAACAAGGUUUCCGUAGGUGAACCUGCGGAAGGAUCAUUAA